GACAGAGGCCUCGAGCGUUAGGCGGAAUCACUGGGCUUAAAGCGUGUGUAGGCGGAUCGUUAAGUACCUUGUGAAAUCCCACGGCUCAACCGUGGAACGGCUGGGUAUACUGGCGGUCUUGGGCCAUUCAGGGGCGACUGGAACAAGUGGUGGAGCGGUGAAAUGCGUAGAUAUCGCUUGGAACGCCGAAGGUGAAAACAGGUCGCUGGGGCUGUGCCGACGCUGAGACACGAAAGCCAGGGGAGCAAACGGG
rnacentral:rRNA from 1 species